ACAAGCGGUGGAGCAUGUGGUUUAAUUCGAUGAUACGCGAGGAACCUUACCUGGGCUCAAAUGUAUGUUGACGUAUUCUGAAAGGGAUACUUCUUCGGACAAUAUACAAGGUGCUGCAUGGUUGUCGUCAGCUCGUGCCGUGAGGUGUCGGGUUAAGUCCCAUAACGAGCGCAACCCCUAUCAUUAGUUGCCAUCAGGUCAAGCUGGGGACUCUAAUGAAACUGCCUACGCAAGUAGUGAGGAAGGUGGGGAUGACGUCAAAUCAGCACGGCCCUUACGUCCAGGGCUACACACGUGCUACAAUGGCCGGCACAACGGGAAGCGAGUUCGCGAGGACGAGCGGAUCCCUCAAAGCCGGUCGCAGUUCGGAUUGAAGUCUGCAACUCGACUUCAUGAAGCUGGAAUCGCUAGUAAUCGUGGAUCAGCCAAGCCGCGGUGAAUACGUUCCCGGGCCUU
rnacentral:rRNA from 1 species